CUUCACUGAGGGUUAGAGAUAAAUUAAGGCCAGUAUUUUGGAGCCAGGGUGGGGACUGAAACUGAAUCAGGCCUGGGAUUUAGGGUUAGGGCCUCAAAGAGGGCUUAGUUUGGGUCCAAUUGGUUAGGGUUAGUUCAGAAAUAUAUGGGCUGGGGUUAGAUGGGAUAUAGACUGGGUUAGCUUAUAAUAGCUUAGCAUGGGUAGGAGCACUGACCAUUGAUCCACAGGAGGCCCUGGCUGGUUAGGUUUGGGUUGGGGUGGGGGUCUCCACCUAAGUGGAGGCCCCCAAAGUGCACUCUCCACCCUGUGGAUGGCCAGCUCUCCGUCUCCAUCUUCUCCAAAGAGGUGGCGUUCGCUCGCGACGUUUCGUCCGCUUCUUGGGACUUCUUCAGGCUGCCAUGACAUACAGGUGGUUUUCUUGUGAUUUUAGAGGUGGCGUUCGCUCGCGACGUUUCGUCCGCUUCUUGGGACUUCUUCAGGCUGCCAUGACAUACAGGUGGUUUUCUUGUGAUUUUAGAGGUAAGUAUCCCCUUAAAGUGAGGUAAGUAUUCCUUUUAGUGGAGGUGAGUAUCCCUUUAAGUUGAGGUAAGUAAUCCUUUUGGUUGGGUAAGUAUUUAUUUUAGUUCCUUUUAGUUGGGGUAAGUAUUUCAUUUAUUUAUUUGAGGUAAGUAUUUAGUUUAGUUGAGGUAAGUAUCCCCUAACUAUGAGCCCCUCUGGGGACAUGUGGCUCCCUCAGAGGGCCGUGCCAAACUGAAUUCAAAAUGUCAGUUGCUCCCUUUUAAACUCUGAGCCCCUCCCUUUCUGAAAAUCCGUGUUACUCCUCCAUUGUAGUGUGUUUGUCUAACCGUUAUUUCCCAUGUCUUUUUUCAAUUAAAAUUCUUUGUUUCUGGC
rnacentral:lncRNA from 15 species